rnacentral:rRNA from 1 species
UGCAGUCGAGCGGUAACAGAUCUAGCUUGCUGGAUGCUGACGAGCGGCGGACGGGUGAGUAAUGCAUAGGAAUCUGCCCGAUAGUGGGGGAUAACCUGGGGAAACCCAGGCUAAUACCGCAUACGUCCUACGGGAGAAAGGGGGCUCCGGCUCCCGCUAUGGGAUGAGCCUAUGUCGGAUUAGCUAGUUGGUGAGGUAACGGCUCACCAAGGCCACGAUCCGUAGCUGGUCUGAGAGGAUGAUCAGCCACAUCGGGACUGAGACACGGCCCGAACUCCUACGGGAGGCAGCAGUGGGGAAUAUUGGACAAUGGGGGAAACCCUGAUCCAGCCAUGCCGCGUGUGUGAAGAAGGCCCUCGGGUUGUAAAGCACUUUCAGCGAGGAAGAACGCCUAGCGGUUAAUACCCGCUAGGAAAGACAUCACUCGCAGAAGAAGCACCGGCUAACUCCGUGCCAGCAGCCGCGGUAAUACGGAGGGUGCAAGCGUUAAUCGGAAUUACUGGGCGUAAAGCGCGCGUAGGUGGCUUGAUAAGCCGGUUGUGAAAGCCCCGGGCUCAACCUGGGAACGGCAUCCGGAACUGUCAAGCUAGAGUGCAGGAGAGGAAGGUAGAAUUCCCGGUGUAGCGGUGAAAUGCGUAGAGAUCGGGAGGAAUACCAGUGGCGAAGGCGGCCUUCUGGACUGACACUGACACUGAGGUGCGAAAGCGUGGGUAGCAAACAGGAUUAGAUACCCUGGUAGUCCACGCCGUAAACGAUGUCGACCAGCCCGUUGGGUGCCUAGCGCACUUUGUGGCGAAGUUAACGCGAUAAGUCGACCGCCUGGGGAGUACGGCCGCAAGGUUAAAACUCAAAUGAAUUGACGGGGGCCCGCACAAGCGGUGGAGCAUGUGGUUU